rnacentral:lncRNA from 1 species
AUAUGUGAACUCACUACCUACUGAGAUGGCCACUUCCAUUUUUUAACAGCUUUAAAGUUUCUGUUUGUUCUGAAACAAGAUAUCUCUCUGGAAUUAUUCUCUGUUUCUUGUGCUGACCCUUCCAGCAAUAUUGAAUAUUUAAAAAGGUUUCUGAAUGAAACAGCUUCUGAUGUUUUGGGUUUAUCAUUGGGCCUCCACUCUAGGUCUUUCCUCCAUUUUUCCAAAUUCCUCUAUGAGUACAUUGCUUCCCGUUCUCUCACAAUUAGGUUCACCCUUUGGAACACCUGCCCCGCUUGACAGUCAUUUCACUGUUGAAUUAUAUUGAACUUACAGUGAUGUGUUUUUUUGGGUAAUUUCAUAUACCACUACCCCAUAUCUAGGAUUUAUGGAUUUUCUAAAAAUCAUAAAUUUAAGCCUUUGCAUAUUUUGCUAUUAUGUUAAAAAUAUAUGUAUAUCAUGUUUAUAAUAAUCUAGUAAAAAAAAAUAAAAAAGAAAAUUUCUGAAAAUGUCUGUGAGUCUAGUAUAUGAAUCUUAUGCAUGCACACAUUUCGUUUUGUGUCUUAAUCUGGUACUUUUUAUGUGCUAAGGAACUUAAUGUGAGUUUCCCUGACCCUGGAUGGUGAGCACUUUGCUUCUUUGCUUUUCAAUUCAUUCUCUGAUUAGACGCACACUGCACAACACACCCAACACUUAUGUAUUGGAAAAGGUUCCUUCCUCCUCCCUGAUUCUGCUACUCGGCCUGCCUCCUUUCCAUUUCAGUUUCCCUACUUUGUAGUAUGUUCUUUGAUACAUCCUGGGGUUAGUAGAAAUGAGAAUGAAGGGAACAUUGAACCUGAGGAGUUUGAGACACUGCAAGGCAGCAUGGGGUCAGGACCGGAAGAGCAGACCACUGAACUCCAGACUGGGUGACAGAAUAAGAUGCCACCCCACUCCCAAAAAAAUGGUGGGGGGGGUGUCUCAGUCUUAUAACCACGAAGAACUGGAUUCUGCCAGCAAUCCCAAUGAAUUUGAGCAAGAUUCUUCCCCACACCUGCCAUUACCUUAAUUUUGACCUUGUGAGAUUCUGAGCAGAGAAAUUUGCUCAAGUUGUGAUAAUUGGUUAUGCAGCAAAAGAAAAUUGAUAGUUUUCUAGGGGCAGACAAGAUUUUUACCAUUAUUUAAUAAUUUUUAAAAAAAGGUGGAGGAGAAAGAGGGAGAGAGGACUAAAUGAAAAUAUUGUACACUGUUAAGUUGCGCUAGUGGAAAGCACUCUAAUGGAGAUAGGGACUCCACAACAAAACAAAACAAAACAAAAAACGUGUUUAUGAGC